rnacentral:rRNA from 2 species
AAAGAAAAUAGUUCAGCACUAAGUCACUUUGUCUUUAUGGCAAAUGUGAGAUGCAGUGUAUGGAGCAUCAAUAUUCUAGUAUGAGAAAUUAAUGAUUUAAGUCCUUCUUAAAUGAGGCCAUUUACCCAUAGAGGGUGCCAGGCCCGUAUAACAUUAAUGAUUACUAGAUGGUGUUUCCAAAGAGUCGUGUUGCUUGAUAGUGCAGCACUAAGUGGGUGGUAAACUCCAUCUAAAACUAAAUAUAACCAUGAGACCGAUAGUAAACAAGUACCGUGAGGGAAAGUUGAAAAGAACUCUGAAUAGAGAGUUAAAUAGUACGUGAAACUGCUUAGAGGUUAAGCCCGAUGAACCUGAAUAUCCGUUAUGGAAAAUUCAUCAUUAAAAUUGUAAUAUUUAAAUAAUAUUAUAAUAAUAGUGUGCAUUUUUUCCAUAUAAGGACAUUGUAAUCUAUUAAUAUAAACCAAAUUUAUCAUAAAAUAUGACUUAUAGUUUAUUUAAAUUAUUUUGCUUGCAAUUUAACAUAAAAUAAAUGUCAUUAAUUUGAUAAAGUGUUGAUAGAUUUAUAUGAAUACAGUGCGUUAAUUUUUUUAAAAUUAUAUAAUAGCAUGAUUAUCAUUGAUUUUCUAUGUUUAUUAUAUGCACUUGUAUGAUUAA